rnacentral:lncRNA from 13 species
CCAACUUGGGUUGUUCCCUCUCUUGGCUAUGAAUACUGCUUCUAUUAAAGCGGUAUACAGGCGUUUAUAUAAAUGUAUUUUCAGUUUUCUCGAGUACACACUUGGAGGUGAACAUUACAUGUCACUACUUCCCAGGCACUGCCUCUAAAGGUGAUGUUUUAUGUUUACACAUACAGGGUUCUAUGAUUUCAUUCCAUUCUGGAAUAGUACUGAGCAAUAUAGGAGGGAAGAAUUUCUAGAUCUGUUCCCUUAUACUACGCAAUAUUGAAAACCUCUGUUGGGGAACAUCAUCUUUAUACAUAAGUUUUCCCAUAAACACAUUCAUAUCAUAUGUGUGUGUGUGUGUGUGUGUGUGUGUGUGUUUAUUUACUUAUCUAUAUCUGUCUAUAUUCAUACAGAGUAACAAUAUAGAAAACAUUAUUGAUAGGCAGAGUCAAUGUAAAGAAUAUGAGAAGAAACUUCCAUACAUCUGACCUGUCUGCCUAUAUGCCAUAUCCACAAUAGUACACAAAUAAAGGUACACUCUGACAUACAUCCUGCUGCAUGUUAUGUGUGUUAGAAAACCAUUCAUUCCUGCUGCUCAUUUCUGUGAGUAGAAAACAUAUAAAGCCCACAGCAUCAUUCAGUGCCAGGUUGAUGUUAAUUCUUUCUCCUUCCAGUGAGCACCAGGUCAGAGAUGAACUGGCCCCAUUCCAAAGGCCUUCACCCAGAUCUGAGAAUGCUGACGUCUCUUCAGUGUUUUCAUCAAGGAUGGUAUUGAGCCAUACAGGAGGGAAGAAAGACUAA